GGUAGGCAUUGAGGCAGCCAGCGCAGGGGCUUCUGCUGAGGGGGCAGGCGGAGCUUGAGGAAACCGCAGAUAAGUUUUUUUCUCUUUGAAAGAUAGAGAUUAAUACAACUACUUAAAAAAUAUAGUCAAUAGGUUACUAAGAUAUUGCUUAGCGUUAAGUUUUUAACGUAAUUUUAAUAGCUUAAGAUUUUAAGAGAAAAUAUGAAGACUUAGAAGAGUAGCAUGAGGAAGGAAAAGAUAAAAGGUUUCUAAAACAUGACGGAGGUUGAGAUGAAGCUUCUUCAUGGAGUAAAAAAUGUAUUUAAAAGAAAAUUGAGAGAAAGGACUACAGAGCCCCGAAUUAAUACCAAUAGAAGGGCAAUGCUUUUAGAUUAAAAUGAAGGUGACUUAAACAGCUUAAAGUUUAGUUUAAAAGUUGUAGGUGAUUAAAAUAAUUUGAAGGCGAUCUUUUAAAAAGAGAUUAAACCGAAGGUGAUUAAAAGACCUUGAAAUCCAUGACGCAGGGAGAAUUGCGUCAUUUAAAGCCUAGUUAACGCAUUUACUAAACGCAGACGAAAAUGGAAAGAUUAAUUGGGAGUGGUAGGAUGAAACAAUUUGGAGAAGAUAGAAGUUUGAAGUGGAAAACUGGAAGACAGAAGUACGGGAAGGCGAAGAAAAGAAUAGAGAAGAUAGGGAAAUUAGAAGAUAAAAACAUACUUUUAGAAGAAAAAAGAUAAAUUUAAACCUGAAAAGUAGGAAGCAGAAGAAAAAAGACAAGCUAGGAAACAAAAAGCUAAGGGCAAAAUGUACAAACUUAGAAGAAAAUUGGAAGAUAGAAACAAGAUAGAAAAUGAAAAUAUUGUCAAGAGUUUCAGAUAGAAAAUGAAAAACAAGCUAAGACAAGUAUUGGAGAAGUAUAGAAGAUAGAAAAAUAUAAAGCCAAAAAUUGGAUAAAAUAGCACUGAAAAAAUGAGGAAAUUAUUGGUAACCAAUUUAUUUUAAAAGCCCAUCAAUUUAAUUUCUGGUGGUGCAGAAGUUAGAAGGUAAAGCUUGAGAAGAUGAGGGUGUUUACGUAGACCAGAACCAAUUUAGAAGAAUACUUGAAGCUAGAAGGGGAAGUUGGUUAAAAAUCACAUCAAAAAGCUACUAAAAGGACUGGUGUAAUUUAAAAAAAACUAAGGCAGAAGGCUUUUGGAAGAGUUAGAAGAAUUUGGAAGGCCUUAAAUAUAGUAGCUUAGUUUGAAAAAUGUGAAGGACUUUCGUAACGGAAGUAAUUCAAGAUCAAGAGUAAUUACCAACUUAAUGUUUUUGCAUUGGACUUUGAGUUAAGAUUAUUUUUUAAAUCCUGAGGACUAGCAUUAAUUGACAGCUGACCCAGGUGCUACACAGAAGUGGAUUCAGUGAAUCUAGGAAGACAGCAGCAGACAGGAUUCCAGGAACCAGUGUUUGAUGAAGCUAGGACUGAGGAGCAAGCGAGCAAGCAGCAGUUCGUGGUGAAGAUAGGAAAAGAGUCCAGGAGCCAGUGCGAUUUGGUGAAGGAAGCUAGGAAGAAGGAAGGAGCGCUAACGAUUUGGUGGUGAAGCUAGGAAAAAGGAUUCCAGGAAGGAGCGAGUGCAAUUUGGUGAUGAAGGUAGCAGGCGGCUUGGCUUGGCAACCACACGGAGGAGGCGAGCAGGCGUUGUGCGUAGAGGAUCCUAGACCAGCAUGCCAGUGUGCCAAGGCCACAGGGAAAGCGAGUGGUUGGUAAAAAUCCGUGAGGUCGGCAAUAUGUUGUUUUUCUGGAACUUACUUAUGGUAACCUUUUAUUUAUUUUCUAAUAUAAUGGGGGAGUUUCGUACUGAGGUGUAAAGGGAUUUAUAUGGGGACGUAGGCCGAUUUCCGGGUGUUGUAGGUUUCUCUUUUUCAGGCUUAUACUCAUGAAUCUUGUCUGAAGCUUUUGAGGGCAGACUGCCAAGUCCUGGAGAAAUAGUAGAUGGCAAGUUUGUGGGUUUUUUUUUUUUACACGAAUUUGAGGAAAACCAAAUGAAUUUGAUAGCCAAAUUGAGACAAUUUCAGCAAAUCUGUAAGCAGUUUGUAUGUUUAGUUGGGGUAAUGAAGUAUUUCAGUUUUGUGAAUAGAUGACCUGUUUUUACUUCCUCACCCUGAAUUCGUUUUGUAAAUGUAGAGUUUGGAUGUGUAACUGAGGCGGGGGGGAGUUUUCAGUAUUUUUUUUUGUGGGGGUGGGGGCAAAAUAUGUUUUCAGUUCUUUUUCCCUUAGGUCUGUCUAGAAUCCUAAAGGCAAAUGACUCAAGGUGUAACAGAAAACAAGAAAAUCCAAUAUCAGGAUAAUCAGACCACCACAGGUUUACAGUUUAUAGAAACUAGAGCAGUUCUCACGUUGAGGUCUGUGGAAGAGAUGUCCAUUGGAGAAAUGGCUGGUAGUUACUCUUUUUUCCCCCCACCCCCUUAAUCAGACUUUAAAAGUGCUUAACCCCUUAAACUUGUUAUUUUUUACUUGAAGCAUUUUGGGAUGGUCUUAACAGGGAAGAGAGAGGGUGGGGGAGAAAAUGUUUUUUUCUAAGAUUUUCCACAGAUGCUAUAGUACUAUUGACAAACUGGGUUAGAGAAGGAGUGUACCGCUGUGCUGUUGGCACGAACACCUUCAGGGACUGGAGCUGCUUUUAUCCUUGGAAGAGUAUUCCCAGUUGAAGCUGAAAAGUACAGCACAGUGCAGCUUUGGUUCAUAUUCAGUCAUCUCAGGAGAACUUCAGAAGAGCUUGAGUAGGCCAAAUGUUGAAGUUAAGUUUUCCAAUAAUGUGACUUCUUAAAAGUUUUAUUAAAGGGGAGGGGCAAAUAUUGGCAAUUAGUUGGCAGUGGCCUGUUACGGUUGGGAUUGGUGGGGUGGGUUUAGGUAAUUGUUUAGUUUAUGAUUGCAGAUAAACUCAUGCCAGAGAACUUAAAGUCUUAGAAUGGAAAAAGUAAAGAAAUAUCAACUUCCAAGUUGGCAAGUAACUCCCAAUGAUUUAGUUUUUUUCCCCCCAGUUUGAAUUGGGAAGCUGGGGGAAGUUAAAUAUGAGCCACUGGGUGUACCAGUGCAUUAAUUUGGGCAAGGAAAGUGUCAUAAUUUGAUACUGUAUCUGUUUUCCUUCAAAGUAUAGAGCUUUUGGGGAAGGAAAGUAUUGAACUGGGGGUUGGUCUGGCCUACUGGGCUGACAUUAACUACAAUUAUGGGAAAUGCAAAAGUUGUUUGGAUAUGGUAGUGUGUGGUUCUCUUUUGGAAUUUUUUUCAGGUGAUUUAAUAAUAAUUUAAAACUACUAUAGAAACUGCAGAGCAAAGGAAGUGGCUUAAUGAUCCUGAAGGGAUUUCUUCUGAUGGUAGCUUUUGUAUUAUCAAACUUUUUUCAGAUAACAUCUUCUGAGUCAUAACCAGCCUGGCAGUAUGAUGGCCUAGAUGCAGAGAAAACAGCUCCUUGGUGAAUUGAUAAGUAAAGGCAGAAAAGAUUAUAUGUCAUACCUCCAUUGGGGAAUAAGCAUAACCCUGAGAUUCUUACUACUGAUGAGAACAUUAUCUGCAUAUGCCAAAAAAUUUUAAGCAAAUGAAAGCUACCAAUUUAAAGUUACGGAAUCUACCAUUUUAAAGUUAAUUGCUUGUCAAGCUAUAACCACAAAAAUAAUGAAUUGAUGAGAAAUACAAUGAAGAGGCAAUGUCCAUCUCAAAAUACUGCUUUUACAAAAGCAGAAUAAAAGCGAAAAGAAAUGAAAAUGUUACACUACAUUAAUCCUGGAAUAAAAGAAGCCGAAAUAAAUGAGAGAUGAGUUGGGAUCAAGUGGAUUGAGGAGGCUGUGCUGUGUGCCAAUGUUUCGUUUGCCUCAGACAGGUAUCUCUUCGUUAUCAGAAGAGUUGCUUCAUUUCAUCUGGGAGCAGAAAACAGCAGGCAGCUGUUAACAGAUAAGUUUAACUUGCAUCUGCAGUAUUGCAUGUUAGGGAUAAGUGCUUAUUUUUAAGAGCUGUGGAGUUCUUAAAUAUCAACCAUGGCACUUUCUCCUGACCCCUUCCCUAGGGGAUUUCAGGAUUGAGAAAUUUUUCCAUCGAGCCUUUUUAAAAUUGUAGGACUUGUUCCUGUGGGCUUCAGUGAUGGGAUAGUACACUUCACUCAGAGGCAUUUGCAUCUUUAAAUAAUUUCUUAAAAGCCUCUAAAGUGAUCAGUGCCUUGAUGCCAACUAAGGAAAUUUGUUUAGCAUUGAAUCUCUGAAGGCUCUAUGAAAGGAAUAGCAUGAUGUGCUGUUAGAAUCAGAUGUUACUGCUAAAAUUUACAUGUUGUGAUGUAAAUUGUGUAGAAAACCAUUAAAUCAUUCAAAAUAAUAAACUAUUUUUAUUAGAGAAUGUAUACUUUUAGAAAGCUGUCUCCUUAUUUAAAUAAAAUAGUGUUUGUCUGUAGUUCAGUGUUGGGGCAAUCUUGGGGGGGAUUCUUCUCUAAUCUUUCAGAAACUUUGUCUGCGAACACUCUUUAAUGGACCAGAUCAGGAUUUGAGCGGAAGAACGAAUGUAACUUUAAGGCAGGAAAGACAAAUUUUAUUCUUCAUAAAGUGAUGAGCAUAUAAUAAUUCCAGGCACAUGGCAAUAGAGGCCCUCUAAAUAAGGAAUAAAUAACCUCUUAGACAGGUGGGAGAUUAUGAUCAGAGUAAAAGGUAAUUACACAUUUUAUUUCCAGAAAGUCAGGGGUCUAUAAAUUGACAGUGAUUAGAGUAAUACUUUUUCACAUUUCCAAAGUUUGCAUGUUAACUUUAAAUGCUUACAAUCUUAGAGUGGUAGGCAAUGUUUUACACUAUUGACCUUAUAUAGGGAAGGGAGGGGGUGCCUGUGGGGUUUUAAAGAAUUUUCCUUUGCAGAGGCAUUUCAUCCUUCAUGAAGCCAUUCAGGAUUUUGAAUUGCAUAUGAGUGCUUGGCUCUUCCUUCUGUUCUAGUGAGUGUAUGAGACCUUGCAGUGAGUUUAUCAGCAUACUCAAAAUUUUUUUCCUGGAAUUUGGAGGGAUGGGAGGAGGGGGUGGGGCUUACUUGUUGUAGCUUUUUUUUUUUUUACAGACUUCACAGAGAAUGCAGUUGUCUUGACUUCAGGUCUGUCUGUUCUGUUGGCAAGUAAAUGCAGUACUGUUCUGAUCCCGCUGCUAUUAGAAUGCAUUGUGAAACGACUGGAGUAUGAUUAAAAGUUGUGUUCCCCAAUGCUUGGAGUAGUGAUUGUUGAAGGAAAAAAUCCAGCUGAGUGAUAAAGGCUGAGUGUUGAGGAAAUUUCUGCAGUUUUAAGCAGUCGUAUUUGUGAUUGAAGCUGAGUACAUUUUGCUGGUGUAUUUUUAGGUAAAAUGCUUUUUGUUCAUUUCUGGUGGUGGGAGGGGACUGAAGCCUUUAGUCUUUUCCAGAUGCAACCUUAAAAUCAGUGACAAGAAACAUUCCAAACAAGCAACAGUCUUCAAGAAAUUAAACUGGCAAGUGGAAAUGUUUAAACAGUUCAGUGAUCUUUAGUGCAUUGUUUAUGUGUGGGUUUCUCUCUCCCCUCCCUUGGUCUUAAUUCUUACAUGCAGGAACACUCAGCAGACACACGUAUGCGAAGGGCCAGAGAAGCCAGACCCAGUAAGAAAAAAUAGCCUAUUUACUUUAAAUAAACCAAACAUUCCAUUUUAAAUGUGGGGAUUGGGAACCACUAGUUCUUUCAGAUGGUAUUCUUCAGACUAUAGAAGGAGCUUCCAGUUGAAUUCACCAGUGGACAAAAUGAGGAAAACAGGUGAACAAGCUUUUUCUGUAUUUACAUACAAAGUCAGAUCAGUUAUGGGACAAUAGUAUUGAAUAGAUUUCAGCUUUAUGCUGGAGUAACUGGCAUGUGAGCAAACUGUGUUGGCGUGGGGGUGGAGGGGUGAGGUGGGCGCUAAGCCUUUUUUUAAGAUUUUUCAGGUACCCCUCACUAAAGGCACCGAAGGCUUAAAGUAGGACAACCAUGGAGCCUUCCUGUGGCAGGAGAGACAACAAAGCGCUAUUAUCCUAAGGUCAAGAGAAGUGUCAGCCUCACCUGAUUUUUAUUAGUAAUGAGGACUUGCCUCAACUCCCUCUUUCUGGAGUGAAGCAUCCGAAGGAAUGCUUGAAGUACCCCUGGGCUUCUCUUAACAUUUAAGCAAGCUGUUUUUAUAGCAGCUCUUAAUAAUAAAGCCCAAAUCUCAAGC
ensembl:lncRNA MALAT1 metastasis associated lung adenocarcinoma transcript 1